UCUGGUGGGGGUAACGGGAAGAAGGUUACUGCGCCCCCACCCCAAGGGAGACCUUGGGGAAAAGGCUGCAGGGCGAGGGAGGCGGGAGCUUGCGGGACUCCUCCCCUUUCCUGUCGGCCACGCCCCUCCCAGUACAUUUCCCUCAGACGGAGAAGCGGGAAAAGUGGAUCCGAGAAGAGUGGGAGGAGCCUAUUCUGGCGGGAAGAACUGAGAGAGACUGACGGAUGUGGCUCUGAGGGAAGCGCCGCCAUUUUGGGAUCUUUGGGGUCCUCAGGAAAUAAUUCGACUCUUCCUAUCUCUGGGUCAGAGAUCGAACUGGGCCUCCUAGUUGUCUUUUCUCCCUUUGCCCCCAGUGUCCUCCUCAGGAGCCCCUUUCCGGCUUCUCUUAUGGGAGACCCCCCAAGGGACCCUUUGAAAUCAUCCCGUCACUGAGGCGAAUGAAUGGGACGAUCCCCAGAUCCCCUCAAUGGAUCCCUUCCAAGCCCUCGGCCUCCACUCGCCCCCAAAGACCCUUCAGAAUAAUGAUGGUGUUUCUUUCAGGGCUUCAUUUGCAAAGGGAAAGAGUGGAAUCGCUGGCUGGAGAAUAAGGAAUAUGUUGAAUGGACUUAUUCCAUUAGUACAGAAUUUAAUUGUAUCAAAUGGAAAGAUAAAUGUAGAUGCUGCCUGGACCUCCCCACCAUGACUCAAAGUGCAAACCUUUAAAGGCCAAAAAUAUCUUCCAAGUUGUAGAAAGAGGCAAAAGGCUGAAAUUUUCUGGUUCCCCUUUGAGUCUUCUGGUGCAAAGGAAGAAGAGAAAGUUGGCCAAAGCACUUUCAAUGAUGCAUGGAUUAUCUCCACAGAUGUAAAAUUACAUAAUUGGGAAGUUCUGCUCAAAUUCCAUACAUUUAUAAGGAGUGUAAUGGUCUUCCCACAUUAAAAUAGGCUCUAGUUUCACCGCUUUGUUGCUGCCUUUAUAGGUGGAUCCUGCAUUGAGAAUGCUUUCCUCAUGUUCCAUGGAUGUAUGUGCAUCGUUCAUUCAUAAACCAGGGAGCCUGGUUUAGCUCAACAGACAGAAGCACUGUAAUUUAACACCAGCUGUCUGCAAUUAAAGUAAGAUCGAAUCCCGCCAGGCUCAAGGUUGACUCAGCCUUCCAUCCUUUCUAAGUUUUCUUCCAGAGGAACCCUUACCUAAAGAAGCCAUGAUCCUACAUGUCUCCAACAUGACUUCUUGAUGCAGGGCUUUCUGGCUGGGAUCAAGCAGCAACCACUCUUCACUGGUGAAAUGGAUGGCCACCUCCCCAAAGGACACAGGACCCUAAAGAAGGAAAAAUUCCUGUGAGCAGACUCGACAGAAUUUGCAAGAUCUCCUUCAAUCUGCAAAUCCUAAAAACAUAGUAUUAUGCUUAUUUGGACAUUUCCCUGGCAUGGCUCAGGAUGUUAUGUGAUAACACCAAUCCCUGAUCUCUCAGAGAAGUGGGGGAGUGUUAUACAAUACAUCCUUUUCAUCUGUGUGUAAGUAACUUACACUAAAAGGUGUAAAUUGUAACUUACAUUAAAAAUCCACAACCACCCCUAAAGGGGUCCCCUAACCCCUUUAACUCUUUCCUAGACAAAAAGUUCGGAAGAGGCCAAUUUGAAAUGACUUCAUCCCAAAAGCAUCCCAAAUCAGCACUGAUAAAGGUUUUAAAAGACAAA